UACGUGAUAGCUCAGUUGGUAGAGCGGAGGACUGUAGAUCCUUAGGUCACUGGUUCGAAUCCGGUUCGCGGGACAUAA